rnacentral:rRNA from 1 species
GACAGAGGGUGCGAACGUUGCUCGGAAUUACUGGGCGUAAAGCGCGUGUAGGCGGACUGGUAAGUCGGACGUGAAAUCCCUGGGCUCAACCCCAGGAACUGCAUCCGAAACUAUCAGUCUGGAGUGGUGGAGAGGAAAGCAGAAUUCCUGGUGUAGAGGUGAAAUUCGUAGAUAUCAGGAGGAACACCGGUGGCGAAGGCGGCUUUCUGGACACUAACUGACGCUGAGACGCGAAAGCGUGGGGAGCAAACAGGG